AUCCAGUUGAUGAGUCUCAAAUAGGACGAGACUUGAGUUCUGGAU
rfam:Schistosoma curassoni strain Dakar, Senegal genome assembly, scaffold: SCTD_scaffold0002277